CACGUAGGGGACGAGCGUUGUCCGGAUUCAUUGGGCGUAAAGCGCGCGUAGGCGGCUCGGAAAGUCGGUCGUGAAAUGCCGGGGCUCAACCCCGGGACUGCGUCCGAUACUUCCGGGCUGGAGGUAGGUAGGGGAGAUCGGAAUUCCUGGUGUAGCGGUGAAAUGCGCAGAUAUCAGGAGGAACACCGGUGGCGAAGGCGGAUCUCUGGGCCUUACCUGACGCUGAGGCGCGAAAGCCAGGGGAGCGAACGGG
rnacentral:rRNA from 1 species